UUCAAAGAUUAACAUUUGGUCAAUUGUGUAACUCUGUCGUCACCACAAUAAUUGUCCACAUCAGCUAUGUACAAUAAUUGUAUGUUGUCUAUGGUCGUCACCAUGGGGCUUUAGAUACAAGCUAAAUUCUAUCUAAAGCCGUAGUCGUUACCGUAUGGUUCGCGUAUCCGACAGUGAGUCGUGCGUGUGUAGUGUGUGCACGCACGCGCGCCGUAAACAAUUACAACGCACCGUCUGCCCUGUUGCGCUUUCGUUGCUACACGCCGCCUACUUAUCACCGUCCGGCGUCCGCAAAUGAUGUUUGACGCUGCCAGUCCAAUGCCGCUCACGUUCUCGCCGUACACGGUUCUCAUAAAAUGCUAGAAGUAAUAUGGCGGUCACCAAAAUAUGCUGUGUAAGCGCUUGAUUUGUGGAUGGACCCACAUACAGUAUAAUAGCAAUGCAAUGUCCACACAUAAAAGUCACGGUUGUAGACAUAAUAUGUGCUCAUCGUAUUUCACAGUGCAACUCUGAAAGUUGCACAUCUACAAACCCGGACUCGAUGACAUUGUAAAAAAUGGAAAAAUGUAAACUUGUUCUUUUCUACGAACAUUGAAGAUUCUAUCCAAGAAGCAGAUUUAAUUUUAAUUUCUAUUAAUACCCCUACAAAGACAUCUGGAGUAGGAAAAGUACAAUGAUUCAAAUACUAUAACAUCUAUGAUGGAAGCUUCAGAUUAUAUGAAUUCAUUAUUACCAACGACAAGUGUCUUCAAAUUUACCAAUGACAUGUGAAUCUUCAAACUCAGUAACGCAGGUAUAUGUAAUAUGGAAUCACAAAUGUAUGGCGUCUCAAAAUCAUCUCUUUCCGAAUACUAUUGAAAAAUUAUCUUAUCCAACAAUACAAAAUUCAUCUGAAGGGACGUGCUGCUGACUUAACAUACGUUGAAAACUGAGCUAGGAUUAUGGUCCAAGUUUCAAUAAGUGAUAAAUUUGUUGUGGAAAAGAGUACAGUACCGUUACGUUCAGCAGAAAGUAUAUUAAAAAUGUUAAGUACUAAUCACGAAUGUUAAAUUUCAAACAAUAAGUGCAGAUUAGAUUUUUGACACUGAGUUGCACUCCAAGAAAAAUGCCGACCAAAAAUGUCAAGUUCAUGAGCUGGACUUCCAUUUGAAUGGCUGCGGUUUCGGUUGGUGCCAUUUCUUCGCCUGCCCAGCGUGGUUGGAUAUAUAGUGUCAUAUUUUAUCAGCCUGAGCAUGGUGCUAGUACCAGAACAAUGGUAACUCAUGAUGGAUGUGGACCUGGAUGGCGGCGGACAGUGGUUCAAAGACUUGUCGGACGACGGUGCAAGCAUACAAUAUACGUAAACAUACGGAUUCUCAGAUCCACCGUAGAACUCCAUUCAAUAGUUCGGCGGCAACGACUGAUUGAUCCCUCAAUCCAGUGUUCGAUUCGUGAGAGCUGGUCGUGGUGCUCUGUAUAGCUAUGUGACGUAAUAAGUUACCUAUCAUCUUUGACUUUUAAUAUUAUAUAUUUGUAUUUACUUUAUAUUGAUUUACAUUUCUGUAUCUAUGAUUGUUACUUAAUUUGUUCUACUUAUUAUGCACUCUACGCCUUUGGGCGUUUAUAAUUAAAAUAAAAAAAUAAAAUAAAAUAUAUGUGUUUAUAAUACCCCGUUUGA